UACAGGGGGGGGCAAGCGUUGUUCGGAAUUACUGGGCGUAAAGGGCGCGUAGGCGGCCUUCUAAGUCGGACGUGAAAUCCCUCGGCUUAACCGAGGAACUGCGUCCGAUACUGAAAGGCUUGAAUCCGGGAGAGGGAUGUGGAAUUCCAGGUGUAGCGGUGAAAUGCGUAGAUAUCUGGAGGAACACCGGUGGCGAAGGCGGCAUCCUGGACCGGUAUUGACGCUGAGGCGCGACAGCGUGGGGAGCAAACAGG
rnacentral:rRNA from 1 species